AUUGAACGCUGCGGCAGGCUUAACACAUGCAAGUCGAGCGAGCGGCGGACGGGUGAGUAAUGCUUAGGAAUCUGCCUAUUAGAGGGGGACAACAUCCUGAAAGGGACGCUAAUACCGCAUACCCAUCGUUGAGCUUCGCCGGAUUGGCUAGUUGGUGGGGUAAAGGCCUACCAAGGCGACGAUCUGUAGCGGGUCUGAGAGGACGAACCGCCACACUGGGGCUGAUACACGGCCCAGACGCCUUCGGGAGGCAGCAGUGGGGUAUAUGGACAAUAGGAGGAACCCUGGUCCCGCCAUGCCGCGUGUGUGAAGAAGGCCUUAUGGUUGUAAAACACUUUAAGCGAGGAGGCGUUACUCGCAGAAUAAGCACCGGCUAACUCUGUGCCAGCCGCCGCGGUAAUUC
rnacentral:rRNA from 1 species